AUUGAACGCUGGCGGCAGGCCUAACACAUGCAAGUCGAGCGGCAGCGGGAAAGUAGCUUGCUACUUUUGCCGGCGAGCGGCGGACGGGUGAGUAAUGCUUAGGAAUCUGCCAUUUAGUGGGGGACAACAUUCCGAAAGGAAUGCUAAUACCGCAUACGUCCUACGGGAGAAAGCAGGGGAUCUUCGGACCUUGCGCUAAAUGAUGAGCCUAAGUCGGAUUAGCUAGUUGGUGGGGUAAAGGCCUACCAAGGCGACGAUCUGUAGCGGGUCUGAGAGGAUGAUCCGCCACACUGGGACUGAGACACGGCCCAGACUCCUACGGGAGGCAGCAGUGGGGAAUAUUGGACAAUGGGCGGAAGCCUGAUCCAGCCAUGCCGCGUGUGUGAAGAAGGCCCUUUGGUUGUAAAGCACUUUAAGCGAGGAGGAGGCUACUAGUACUAAUACUACUGGAUAGUGGACGUUACUCGCAGAAUAAGCACCGGCUAACUCUGUGCCAGCCGCCGCGGUAAUAC
rnacentral:rRNA from 1 species